rnacentral:rRNA from 1 species
CACGUAGGGCGCAAGCGUUGUCCGGAAUUAUUGGGCGUAAAGAGCUCGUAGGCGGCUUGUUGCGUCGGCUGUGAAAACCCGCGGCUUAACUGCGGGCUUGCAGCCGAUACGGGCGGGCUGGAGUUCGGUAGGGGAGACUGGAAUUCCUGGUGUAGCGGUGAAAUGCGCAGAUAUCAGGAAGAACACCCGUGGCGAAGGCGGCUCUCUGGGACGGUACUGACGCUGAGACGCGAAAGCGUGGGGAGCGAACAGG